GGUUCCACAGUGCAGCGGUUAGAACAUCUGCUUUACACACAGAAGGUCCUGGGUUCACGCCCCAGUGGAGCCA
rnacentral:tRNA from 1 species